rnacentral:rRNA from 1 species
AGAGUUUGAUCCUGGCUCAGGACGAACGCUGGCGGCAUGCCUAACACAUGCAAGUCGAACGGAGAUGUUCAGGAAGUUUACUUCUCGAGCAUCUUAGUGGCGGACGGGUGAGUAACACGUGGGUAAUCUGCCUAUCACAUUGGGAUAACAGGGUGAAAACGCUGCUAAUACCGAAUAAGCCGACGGAGGCGGGAGCCUCUGCCGGAAAAGGAGCAAUCCGGUGAUAGAUGAGCCCGCGGCUGAUUAGCUAGUUGGUGAGGUAACGGCCCACCAAGGCGACGAUCAGUAGCCGGCCUGAGAGGGUGAACGGCCACACUGGAACUGAGAAACGGUCCAGACUCCUACGGGAGGCAGCAGUGGGGAAUCUUCCGCAAUGGGCGAAAGCCUGACGGAGCAAUGCCGCGUGAGUGACGAAGGCCUUCGGGUUGUAAAGCUCUGUCUUCAGGGACGAAAAAAAUGACGGUACCUGAGGAGGAAGCCACGGCUAACUACGUGCCAGCAGCCGCGGUAAUACGUAGGUGGCAAGCGUUGUCCGGAAUUACUGGGCGUAAAGGGCGUGUAGGUGGACUGAUCAGUCGGAUGUGAAAUAUCCAGGCUUAACCUGGGGGCUGCAUUCGAUACGGUCAGUCUUGAGUGCAGGAGAGGGCAGUGGAAUUCCCAGUGUAGCGGUGAAAUGCGUAGAUAUUGGGAGGAACACCAGUGGCGAAGGCGGCUGCCUGGACUGUAACUGACACUGAGGCGCGAAAGCGUGGGGAGCAAACAGGAUUAGAUACCCUGGUAGUCCACGCCGUAAACGAUGGGUACUAGGUGUAGGAGGUAUCGACCCCUUCUGUGCCGGAGUUAACACAAUAAGUACCCCGCCUGGGGAGUACGGCCGCAAGGUUGAAACUCAAAGGAAUUGACGGGGGCCCGCACAAGCGGUGAAGCAUGUGGUUUAAUUCGACGCAACGCGAAGAACCUUACCAGGUCUUGACAUCUUCCUGAAUGGUGUAGAGAUAUGCCAGGCCUUUCGGGGACAGGAGGACAGGUGGUGCAUGGUUGUCGUCAGCUCGUGUCGUGAGAUGUUGGGUUAAGUCCCGCAACGAGCGCAACCCU